CAGAACAGAGUUACUCAUUAAUAGGCACGUAUGACCUUUAUAUAUAUGAGCCAAGCCUCAAUUCACUGAAGACUGGAUGUAAUUUUGGACCUGAGGGAUAAAGGGAAUACUGGAGGAGUUCAGGCUUCACGAACAGUCGGGUGGAGCUACCGGCUCCAUCACCAUCUGCUCCCCAAAAGAAGGAGGCACAGCAGUGCUCUCACGAUGCACACCCACUCACUAGCAGCCCACAAUACACGCACAUACAAACACACAGAUAUACAAAUUGACUCCAAGGCAAAAGCCAGGAUCCUGCAGUAGCACCUUUGUGAACACACACAGACACACAUGCCAACACACACAUGCCAACACACAGGCUGGCACCGAUAGGAGCAUUACAGGGACAUGCAGACUUCACCACCCACUCUUUCUCCAGUGUUGCGUCCAUCUGCUCACUGCACUGCUCUCUCCAUGGAUUUCCAUGGCAGAGUCCAAAAUGUGACACGUUUGCUGUGUUUACAGUCCCAUAUGUACAGGUGUCUGAGGUACAAAUACAAACCUAAAGAUGAAUAAAUUUGAAUGGUCAAAGUUC